ACUCCUACGGGAGGCAGCAGUGGGAGUAUUGCAUCAAUGGGAAACCGGUACAUGCAGCCAUGCCGCGUGUGUGAAGAAGGCCUUCGGGUUGUAAAGCACUUUCAGUAGGGAGGAAGGUAGUGUAGUUAACACCUGCACUAUUUGACGUUACCUACAGAAGAAGCACCGGCUAACUCCGUGCCAGCAGCCGCGGUAAUACGGAGGGUGCGAGCGUUAAUCGGAAUUACUGGGCGU
rnacentral:rRNA from 1 species